UAACGCGUGGGUAACCUGCCCUUUUGUGGGGAACAACUUCGAGAAAUCGGAGCUAAUACCGCAUAAUAAUAGAGGAUCGCAUGAUUCUUUAAGGAAAGAUGGCCUCUGAAGAUGCUAUCGCAAAAGGAUGGACCCGCGUCUGAUUAGCUAGUUGGAAGGGUAACGGCCUACCAAGGCAACGAUCAGUAGCCGGCCUGAGAGGGUGAACGGCCACAUUGGGACUGAGACACGGCCCAAACUCCUACGGGAGGCAGCAG
rnacentral:rRNA from 1 species